rnacentral:rRNA from 1 species
GCCUACGACCGUAUCAUACUGAAAGCACGCCAUCCCUUCCUAUUUGGCAGGUUAAGCAACGUUGGGUCCGGUUAGUACUUGGAUAGGAGACGGUUUGGGAACCUCAGGUGUCGUAAGUU